rnacentral:misc_RNA from 1 species
GAUGAAGAACGUAGCGAAAUGCGAUAAGUAGUGUGAAUUGCAGAAUUCAGUGAAUCAUCGAAUCUUUGAACGCACAUUGCGCCCUUUGGACAUUCCGAAGGGCAUGCCUGUUUGAGUAUCAUGAACACCUCAACUCUCACGGCUUGUCCGUGAUGAGCUUGGACUUUGGGGGUCUUGCCGGCCUGUGGUCGGCUCCUCUCAAAUGGAUCAGCUUGCCAGUGUUUGGUGGCAUCACAGGUGUGAUAACUAUCUGCGCUUGUGGUUUUCCAUCAGAUAACCUUCAGUGAUAUGGAGGUUCGCUGGAGCUCACAAAUGUCUCUCCUUAGUGAGGACAGCUCUUUGAACGUUUGAUCUCAAAUCAGGUAGGACUACCCGCUGAACUUAAGCAUAUCAAUAAGCGGAGGA